rnacentral:pre_miRNA from 1 species
UUUUUACUUUCUUCGUCUAAUAAAAGAUGUUUCAAAUUUGUCAAAAUUUAAAUGUAUCUAAACAUCACUUAAUGUAUUGAUGCAUUCAAAUUUGGUCAAAGUUAAGACAUCCUUUAUUGGAUGGAGGGAAUAGUAG